rnacentral:rRNA from 1 species
CGCAGCCGCGGUAAUUCCAGCUCCAAUAGCGUAUAUUAAAGUUGUUGCAGUUAAAAAGCUCGUAGUUGAAUUUCGGGAUCAAUAUGUUGGUCGUGCCUUGGUACGUACUGGCAUUAUCGAUUCCUACCUUCUGAAGAACCUCGAUGUCAUUAGUUUGGUGUCUUGGGGAAUCAGGACUGUUACUUUGAAAAAUUAGAGUGUUUAAAGCAGGCUCGCGCUUGAAUACAUUAGCAUGGAAUAAUGAAAUAGGACGUUUGAUUCUAUUUUGUUGGUUUCUAGGAUCGACGUAAUGAUUAAUAGGGAUAGUUGGGGGCAUUAGUAUUCAAUUGUCAGAGGUGAAAUUCUUGGAUUUAUUGAAGACUAACUACUGCGAAAGCAUUUGCCAAGGAUGUUUUCAUUAAUCAAGAACGAAGUUAGGGGAUCGAAGACGAUCAGAUACCGUCGUAGUCUUAACCAUAAACCUAUGCCGACUAGGGAUCGGAUGAUGUUUAAUUUUUAAUGACUCAUUCGGCGCCUUAAC